GAUGAACGCUAGCGGCAGGCUUAAUACAUGCAAGUCGAGGGGCAUCAAGGUACACGAAAGUGUAUUGUUGGCGACCGGCGGACGGGUGAGUAAUAGGUAGGUAACCUACCUCAUACUGAGGCAUAGCUGGGAGAAAUUCCAGGUAAUUCCUCAUGAGGUUAUAUGACACAUGUGAUAUAAUCAAAGGUAUCGCAAGGUACUGGUAUGAGAUGGGCUUACUGACCAUUAGCUAGUUGGUGAGAUAAGAGCUCACCAAGGCGAAGAUGGUUAGGGGUUUUGAGAGAGAGAUCCCCCACAUUGGAACUGAGAUACGGUCCAGACUCCUACGGGAGGCAGCAGUGGGGAAUAUUGCACAAUGGGGGAAACCCUGAUGCAGCGACGCCGCGUGAGCGAAGAAGGCCUCGGUCGUAAGCUCUGUCCUAAGGAAGAAGAGGACGGUACUUAGGAGGAAGCCCGGCCUAACUACGUGCCAGCAGCCGCGGUAAGAGU
rnacentral:rRNA from 1 species